CGAGGCGGCGGGUAAGCGCGUUUGGUUAGGGACCAAAAGGUCGUGGGUUCAAGUCCCGUCGUCUCAACCA
rnacentral:tRNA from 1 species